rnacentral:rRNA from 1 species
AUUGAACGCUGGCGGCAGGCUUAACACAUGCAAGUCGAGCGGAGAUGAGGUGCUUGCACCUUAUCUUAGCGGCGGACGGGUGAGUAAUGCUUAGGAAUCUGCCUAUUAGUGGGGGACAACAUUCCGAAAGAAAUGCUAAUACCGCAUACGUCCUACGGGAGAAAGCAGGGGAUCUUCGGACCUUGCGCUAAUAGAUGAGCCUAAGUCGGAUUAGCUAGUUGGUGGGGUAAAGGCCUACCAAGGCGACGAUCUGUAGCGGGUCUGAGAGGAUGAUCCGCCACACUGGGACUGAGACACGGCCCAGACUCCUACGGGAGGCAGCAGGGGGGAAUAUUGGACAAUGGGGGGAACCCUGAUCCAGCCAUGCCGCGUGUGUGAAGAAGGCCUUAUGGUUGUAAAGCACUUUAAGCGAGGAGGAGGCUACUGAGACUAAUACUCUUGGAUAGUGGACGUUACUCGCAGAAUAAGCACCGGCUAACUCUGUGCCAGCCGCCGCGGUAAAAC